rnacentral:rRNA from 1 species
GACAGAGGGUGCAAACGUUGUCCGGAAUUACUGGGCGUAAAGGGCGCGUAGGCGGCCUUAUAAGUCAUGUGUGAAAGCUCUGGGCUCAACCCAGGAAUUGCAUGUGAUACUGUAAGGCUUGAGUUCGGUAGAGGAGGGCGGAAUUCCAGGUGUAGCGGUGAAAUGCGUAGAUAUCUGGAGGAACACCCGUGGCGAAGGCGGCUCUCUGGUCCGAAACUGACGCUGAGGUGCGAAAGCUAGGGUAGCAAACAGG